GACUCGGCGUCCGAGGUCUGACGUCGAGGGAGAGACGGCCGUUAGCCGGUGAGCCCCAGACGCAGACGGCCAGAGACCGCUCAGCAGGGAAGAUGCCGAGACCCCCGGGUAGCAUGUCGUUUGCAAACGACGGGAGAUCGAAGUCAGGGGACCUUCGUGAAAGAAGCCCGAGGGGAAACCCCUCCCCUCUAGGGGACCGAGAGCGACCGCCGCCGUCUCCUCAGACGCCGCGAGCGAGGAGAGGAACGAAGCCCGGACAGUGUUGAGAGCAAACUGACCUUCCGAGAGCUGCGUGCCCACAAAAUUACCCUCCAUCGGUGCAGGGAGACGGAGCCUCCGUCAGCCAAGCAAAAAGUGAGGGCUUGGUGGCCCGUAAACCUGCCAGCUCGGUCCGUUCGGGGCGCUGUGCCGAAAUGCCCCAGGCGGGGUGGCGUGUGAGAGUCAGCGUUGGUUUCCCCCAGCGCUGGAGGCUGGGCAGCCCGGGUCAAGGCGCCAGCCUGGGCGAGUUCUGCGGAGAGGACCCUCUUCCCGGUGCGGAGUCAGCCCUUCUUGCUGCGUCCUCACGUGCGGGGAGGAGCUGGGGGUCUCUGAGGCUCUUCCUAAGAGCACUGGUCCCGUUCACGCGGGCCCCAACCUGGUGCCCUGAGCACCUCCCAAAGGCCCGGCUCCAACACUAUCAUCUUCAGGGGUUAGGAUUUCAACAUGAAUUUGCGGGGACACAAACGUUCAGACCAUAGUGCCUGCCUUGCAAGAAAUGUUAACAGCAUUUCUUCAGAGACAAGGAGAAUGAUCUUGGUCAGAUACUCGGAUCUAUAUAGAGAAAGAAGAGUGUCGAAGAAGGAGUAAGCGAAGGAAAAAUAAAAGGAGCAACAGUUAAUGAAUACAAGGACAGACAUGGAAAGAAAUGCAGUAAUCAAGAAAGACAAAGUUAGAGGAAGUCAGAGAGUGCUCACUUCUUUAUGAAGAUUCUGAUGGGAGUGACCCUGUGUUGUCCGUGUGGGUAAGGAAACUGCUUUGUCUACUGUGGCUUCAUUGCUUGACAUUGUCCAUUAGCUGUCAUCAAGUAAAGGUGUAAUUUUAUA